GAUGAACGCUAGCGGCAGGCUUAACACAUGCAAGUCGAGGGGCAGCACGGGUAGCAAUAUCUGGUGGCGACCGGCGCAAGGGUGCGUAACGCGUGAGCAACAUGCCCGUAUCAGGGGAAUAAUCCAGGGAAACUUGGUCUAAUACCCCAUAGCAAUUGGAGGAGGCAUCUUUUUCAAUUUAAAGCUUUGGUGGAUACGGAUUGGCUCGCGUGACAUUAGCUAGAUGGUAAGGUAACGGCUUACCAUGGCUACGAUGUCUAGGGGUUCUGAGAGGAAGAUCCCCCACACUGGAACUGAGACACGGUCCAGACUCCUACGGGAGGCAGCAGUGAGGAAUAUUGGACAAUGGAUGGAAAUCUGAUCCAGCCAUGCCGCGUGCAGGAAGACGGCCCUAUGGGUUGUAAACUGCUUUUGUAUGGGAGCAAUAAGGUCUAUGCGUAGACUGAUGAGAGUACCAUACGAAUAAGCAUCGGCUAACUCCGUG
rnacentral:rRNA from 1 species